rnacentral:lncRNA from 1 species
AGAUCCCGGUCGAUGCCGAGAGGUAAUGGACCAAUGGUGCAGCCUGGUGGACGUGGUCCUCCACCACUGGUCGGCAAGUCGCCCUCAUUGAACCCAAGGCUUCUGCCUCAGGGUAGUGGUGGCUUCGUGAGCGGUAGGCCUAGUGCCCUCUUGCAAGGUAGCGGUGCACCUCCUGCUCGCCCAUUGGGCUAUGGUUUUGGCACGGAGCCUGCUUCACAGGUUCCUGGACCAGUUAGACCUCCAGCAACUGUUUCUCCCUUUGCUGAAAAGGCACCCCAGGUUCCUGCAGCAAGGUCGAAUCCUGAUGAACUAAUGUGAGUGGUAGGCCUAGUGCCCUCUUGCAAGGUAGCGGUGCACCUCCUGCUCGCCCAUUGGGCUAUGGUUUUGGCAUGGAGCCUGCAUCACAGGUUCCUGGACCAGUUAGAUCUCCAACAACUGUUUCUCCAGUU